rnacentral:rRNA from 1 species
UACAGGGGGUGCAAACGUUGCUCGGAAUUAUUGGGCGUAAAGCGCGCGUAGGCGGCUACUUAAGUCGGAUGUGAAAGCCCUUGGCUCAACUGAGGAAGUGCACCCGAAACUGAGUGGCUUGAGUACGAAAGAGGGUCGCGGAAUUCCCGGUGUAGAGGUGAAAUUCGUAGAUAUUGGGAAGAACACCUAUGGCGAAGGCAGCUCUCUGGGACGGUACUGACGCUGAGACGCGAAAGCGUGGGGAGCGAACAGG